UGCUAUACAUGCAAGUCGAACGCUUCUUUCCUCCCGAGUGCUUGCACUCAAUUGGAAAGAGGAGUGGCGGACGGGUGAGUAACACGUGGGUAACCUACCCAUCAGAGGGGGAUAACACUUGGAAACAGGUGCUAAUACCGCAUAACAGUUUAUGCCGCAUGGCAUAAGAGUGAAAGGCGCUUUCGGGUGUCGCUGAUGGAUGGACCCGCGGUGCAUUAGCUAGUUGGUGAGGUAACGGCUCACCAAGGCCACGAUGCAUAGCCGACCUGAGAGGGUGAUCGGCCACACUGGGACUGAGACACGGCCCAGACUCCUACGGGAGGCAGCAGUAGGGAAUCUUCGGCAAUGGACGAAAGUCUGACCGAGCAACGCCGCGUGAGUGAAGAAGGUUUUCGGAUCGUAAAACUCUGUUGUUAGAGAAGAACAAGGACGUUAGUAACUGAACGUCCCCUGACGGUAUCUAACCAGAAAGCCACGGCUAACUACGUGCCAGCAGCCGCGGUAAUACGUAGGUGGCAAGCGUUGUCCGGAUUUAUUGGGCGUAAAGCGAGCGCAGGCGGUUUCUUAAGUCUGAUGUGAAAGCCCCCGGCUCAACCGGGGAGGGUCAUUGGAAACUGGGAGACUUGAGUGCAGAAGAGGAGAGUGGAAUUCCAUGUGUAGCGGUGAAAUGCGUAGAUAUAUGGAGGAACACCAGUGGCGAAGGCGGCUCUCUGGUCUGUAACUGACGCUGAGGCUCGAAAGCGUGGGGAGCAAACAGGAUUAGAUACCCUGGUAGUCCACGCCGUAAACGAUGAGUGCUAAGUGUUGGAGGGUUUCCGCCCUUCAGUGCUGCAGCAAACGCAUUAAGCACUCCGCCUGGGGAGUACGACCGCAAGGUUGAAACUCAAAGGAAUUGACGGGGGCCCGCACAAGCGGUGGAGCAUGUGGU
rnacentral:rRNA from 1 species